UGAUAUGGCUCAGUUGGUAGAGCAAUUGAUUCGUAAUCAAUAGGUCGCCGGUUCGAAUCCGGCUAUCA
rnacentral:tRNA from 1 species